rnacentral:misc_RNA from 1 species
AACGCAUAUUGCGCUCGAGGCUUCGGCUGAGAGCAUGUCUGCCUCAGCGUCGGGUUAAUACUCACACUCCCCAUCCCUAGUCGGGUGGAGAGGCGUGGAUCUGGCUGUCUCGCCCCGGUCGACCUUCGGGCCGACCGAGGCGGGUCUGCUGAAGUGCAGAGGCAAUGCAUGGACCCGCUAAGGGCUGCAACUGGGUAGGUGGCUUCGCCAUUCUCACGUUGUUGGCCUGGGAACGCGCUUGUUGCCCUCUAAACAGGAAAACUAUUAACCAUUUUCUCGACCUGAGCUCAGGCAAGAUUACCCGCUGAACUUAA